rnacentral:rRNA from 1 species
GAUGAACGCUAGCGGCAGGCCUAACACAUGCAAGUCGAGGGGCAUCAUGGCGUAGCAAUACGCUGAUGGCGACCGGCGCACGGGUGAGUAACACGUGAGUAACCUGCCCUUCACUGUGGGAUAACCUUCGGAAACGUGGGCUAAUACCGCAUAGGAGCUCCUGCUGCAUGGUGGGGGUUUGAAAGAUUUUUUGGUGGGGGAUGGGCUCGCGGCCUAUCAGCUUGAUGGUGGGGUGAUGGCCUACCAUGGCUUCGACGGGUAGCCGGCCUGAGAGGGCGACCGGCCACACUGGGACUGAGACACGGCCCAGACUCCUACGGGAGGCAGCAGUGGGGAAUAUUGCACAAUGGGCGAAAGCCUGAUGCAGCGACGCCGCGUGAGGGAUGAAGGCCUUCGGGUUGUAAACCUCUUUCUAGCAGGGAAGAAGCGAAAGUGACGGUACUGCAGAAGAAGACACCGGCUAACUACGUGCCAGCAGCCGACGGUAAACAACGG